UCACAGCCGUCUGGAGAGCCGCCACCACCUGUCAGCAGCGUUGUGGCGCACCGAAGGAGCAAACCGUGCGCCAUGUGGGCCGUGCGGUGAAUCUCUCAGGUACCAAGGACAGGGGGAGCGGC
rfam:Acidovorax delafieldii 2AN ctg00899, whole genome shotgun sequence.